GUCCACGCCCUAAACGAUGAUUACUCGACGUUGGCGAUACACUGAUCAGCGUCCAAGCGAAAGCAUUAAGUAAUCCACCUGGGAAGUACGUUCGCAAGAAUGAAACUCAAAGGAAUUGACGGGGGUCCGCACAAGCGGUGUAGCAUGUGGUUUAAUUCGAUGAUACGCGAGGAACCUUACCUGGGCUAGAAUGCAGUCUGACCGCUGGUGAAAGCCAGUUUUAUAGCAAUAUACAGAUUGUAAGGUGCUGCAUGGCCGUCGU
rnacentral:rRNA from 1 species